CCAUCUUUAAGCGCGUUUGGCUGGCCCGCCGGCGCUCGGAAGUAGAGGCGCUUCUGUCGUUGUUCGUGAAGCCGUGGUGACUGCGGGAUCAGAAUCUUUGAGUGUGAGAAACUUUACAGAUAGCCACAAUGGCUGAAAAUGGAGAUAACGAAAAAAUGGCUGCUCUGGAGGCCAAAAUCUGUCAUCAAAUUGAGUAUUAUUUUGGAGACUUCAAUUUGCCACGAGACAAGUUUUUAAAAGAACAGAUCAAAUUGGAUGAAGGCUGGGUACCUUUGGAAACAAUGAUAAAAUUCAACAGGCUAAACCGACUGACAACAGACUUUAAUGUAAUCGUGCAAGCAUUGAGCAAAUCUAAGGCAAAUCUCAUGGAAGUGAGUGCAGACAAAACUAAAAUUAGAAGAUCACCAAGCAGACCACUCCCUGAAGUGACGGAUGAGUAUAAGAAUGAUGUGAAAAAUAGAUCUGUUUAUAUUGUAAGUGUUUCCACAGUGUAUUCAUAUUACCUUUAUUUAGAAAGAAAAUACACAGAGUGAAAUGCUCAGGAAUCACAUUUGGCCAGUUGGUUUAUUAUUUUUUGCCAUUGUCUUUCUAAGUUCUUUAUCAUUGUUAAUGUUAAAUUGUUCACAUGAUAAACUAUAAUAGUUGAAUUCUAUAGUAAUUUUCAUUGGCAUAUUAAUUUCUAAAUGCAUAAUGGAAAGCUUUAAGAACAAGGCAGUAGAUUGAAUAGUGUUAAGUACUGU
rnacentral:lncRNA from 1 species